rnacentral:lncRNA from 1 species
CCAAAUCACUAAAACCCUAAUUUCCAAACACGCAUGCUUGUAUGCCCAGGGGACACGGUCGUGUGAAAAUCAACUAAUUUCCCCCAAAUUAGCCACAUGACAUUGUGGCAUGAAUUUUCAUCUAAUCACCCUAAUCCCCAAUUCCAUACGACCGUGUGAACCAGCACACGUCUGUGUGGUCUCCAAUAUGGUCCCGAAACCACCUCGAAACAUCAUGCAAACUGUGAAUUCACACACCAAAUGCCCCCUAAACUCUAAUAGAUUAGAAACAUGCCAUAGAAAACCAAGCUUUACGAAACUUAUAAGCGAAACCUACCACACAUUCACCAAAACACUUAGAACAUGUCAAGUUCCACACAAUUGAGACAACAAAUUGAAAUUGAAGAGUUUGAACCCACACCUGAUUCGCGAUCAGAGACGUCCAGAACCCAACUUGAUGGCCAAGAAAUUGAAGCUCUCUGAAAACCACAACACAACCGUUUUCAAAAAAGAAAAGAAGAAAGAACAAAAAAGAAAACAAAGAAAGGGUAAGAGGAGAAC